GUAAGAUGUGACUUGCUCCUCCUUGCCUUCCGCCAUGAUUGUGAGGCCUCCCCAGCCACAUGGAACUACUGGCCAACACUUACGGAAAAUAGAACCUACAUUGAAAUAUUGGGGGCUGGUUUCCUCUAUACAAGAGGAGUCAUGAAUGUUUAUGAAAGGAAAAAUCGCACAUGCGCAGGUUCAUAGGCAGAAGGGACUUACCUUGCCUCAGUAUGAAUGACGGAUAACAGAACAAGAGACUGGGAACAUGGAGGCCAAGGGGGAACUCCUCAGGAGCUGCAACUGACACACAAAGGAAAUUUUAAGCAAGGCAGUGGAAAUGAAAAUGUGAAUUCGAAUUGUUGCAGAAUGUCAAAGGAGAACUCUUCCUGCUGUCUCAGAAUUUCAGCUGGAGCUACAGAGAUCAAAGAGAGGAUGUUAAAUACCCACUAAUUUGAAAACGAGUUGCCAGGCCAGCUCUGCAGAACAUGCUAAGGGGUAACACCAAAAGACAGAUAAGCAUUUGUCUAUGACGUGCCUCAAGCCAAUACAAGGAGAAAAAAGAAGAGCAAUAAAGGAAAGACCAUGAGGAUGGGUUUCUGUGAGAAGAGCUGUAGAUUUCUCCUUUCUUCUCCAUACCUUGAGCCAAGUUGGGAGGUUGUAAAAAUCCUCUGACAGAGCUUGGGUGUGCUUCCUGCCAGGAGGAAGACUAACCUGGAGCAAGCGGGUGGGGAGAGACCUUCAGAGAAUUUGGACUCCCUACAGUCGGGGGCACAGGGUUUUGUGUUGACUUGGACUUGUAGAAGUCCGAUGCCCGCCAGGCGCGGUGGCUCACGCCUGUAAUCCU
rnacentral:antisense_RNA from 1 species